GGAAAAUUAGCCAUGGGUAAGGCAGAUUAUUUGCUAAGUAAUUGAAUUAUAAUAUUCUGAUGAGUUCGAACCUCAUAUUUUCCG
rnacentral:tRNA from 1 species